rnacentral:rRNA from 1 species
UACACACCGCCCCGUCACACCAUGGGAGUUUCGUUGCACCAGAAGCAGGUAGCUUAACCUUCGGGGGGCGCUUGCCACGGUGUGGACCGAUGACUGGGGUG